AUCAUAUCUUCUUAACAGAGGUGUAAACGACAGUGAAGAUACAAGAGAAGAGAGAGGCCUUACCUUAUUCUCUUCAGAUCAGUAACAGCUGAAAAACAAAUGUGUUGAAUCUCCAAGAAUAAGGUGCAGACCUGACAACUUGAUAGUUUUCCCUUGUUAGGAGGGACAGAGCUAUGAUCUGCAGUAACCCAAGCCCCUGUCUGAAGAGGGUGAUGAUGAGACACAUUUCCCAGAGAUGCUGAAAGCUUUGAAAACACUUCUUUUCAGAAUACAGCCAUUUGAAUCUCAGUGUUGAAAGACCUUUGAACAACCUACCUACUUAAUUAUGAAUUCUUAAGGCACUUUCUCAGACGUUCCUAGUUUUUCCUUUAACCGUAACAGUGUGUGCACAUUUCUGCUUUUGGGAAAACCAAACCCUAAAAGACAGUGAGUCUUUUACAAUCAAACAUUUUAAGAUCUGCAAAAGAGACAGCUCAAGCAAGGAGUAUUUGCCUGAAACUCUUGCUCUGAAGAAGAGAGCAGUGAAGGAGGAGUAGGAGAAGCCCACCUGCUACAGCAACUCUUCUCACCAACCAGAGCUGGUGAUUGGAUCCAGUCCGGGAAAUAAACUGUUCUAAGGAAAGAGGCA
rnacentral:lncRNA from 1 species